CCUACGGGAGGCAGCAGUAGGGAAUCUUCCGCAAUGGACGAAAGUCUGACCGAGCAACGCCGCGUGAGUGAAGAAGGUUUUCGGAUCGUAAAACUCUGUUGGUAGAGAAGAACGUUGGUGAGAGUGGAAAGCUCAUCAAGUGACGGUAACUACCCAGAAAGCGACGGCUAACAACGUGCCAGCAGCCGCGGUAAUCCGUAGGUGCCGAGUGUGGUCGGGAUUUAUUGGGCGUAAAGCGAGCGCAGGUGGUUUAUUAAGUCUGGUGUAAAAGGCAGUGGUUCAACCAUGGUAUGCAUUGGAAACUGGUAGACUUGAGUGCAGGAGAGGAGAGUGGAAGUCCAUGUGUAGCGGUGAAAUGCGUAGAUAUAUGGAGGAACACCGGUGGCGAAAGCGGCUCUCUGGCCUGUAACUGACACUGAGGCUCGAAAGCGUGGGGAGCAAACAGGAUUAGAUACCCUGGUAGUC
rnacentral:rRNA from 1 species